rnacentral:rRNA from 1 species
AUUGAACGCUGGCGGCAUGCCUUACACAUGCAAGUCGAACGGCAGCACGGGUGCUUGCACCUGGUGGCGAGUGGCGAAAGGGUGAGUAAUACAUCGGAACAUGUCCUGUAGUGGGGGAUAGCCCGGCGAAAGCCGGAUUAAUACCGCAUACGAUCUACGGAUGAAAGCGGGGGACCUUCGGGCCUCGCGCUGUAGGGUUGGCCGAUGGCUGAUUAGCUAGUUGGUGGGGUAAAGGCCUACCAAGGCGACGAUCAGUAGCUGGUCUGAGAGGACGACCAGCCACACUGGGACUGAGACACGGCCCAGACUCCUACGGGAGGCAGCAGUGGGGAAUUUUGGACAAUGGGCGAAAGCCUGAUCCAGCAAUGCCGCGUGUGUGAAGAAGGCCUUCGGGUUGUAAAGCACUUUUGUCCGGAAAGAAAUCCUUGGCUCUAAUACAGUCGGGGGAUGACGGUACCGGAAGAAUAAGCACCGGCUAACUACGUG